rnacentral:rRNA from 1 species
GACGAACGCUGUUUGCGUGCUUAACACAUGCAAGUCGAACGGAAAGGCCCUGCUUUUGUGGGGUGCUCGAGUGGCGAACGGGUGAGUAACACGUGAGUAACCUGCCCUUGACUUUGGGAUAACUUCAGGAAACUGGGGCUAAUACCGGAUAGGAGCUCCUGCUGCAUGGUGGGGGUUGGAAAGUUUCGGCGGUUGGGGAUGGACUCGCGGCUUAUCAGCUUGUUGGUGGGGUAGUGGCUUACCAAGGCUUUGACGGGUAGCCGGCCUGAGAGGGUGACCGGGCACAUUGGGACUGAGAUACGGCCCAGACUCCUACGGGAGGCAGCAGUGGGGAAUAUUGCACAAUGGGCGGAAGCCUGAUGCAGCAACGCCGCGUGCGGGAUGACGGCCUUCGGGUUGUAAACCGCUUUCGCCUGUGACGAAGCGUGAGUGACGGUAAUGGGUAAAGAAGCACCGGCUAACUACGUGCCAGCAGCCGCGGUGAUACGUAGGGUGCGAGCGUUGUCCGGAUUUAUUGGGCGUAAAGGGCUCGUAGGUGGUUGAUCGCGUCGGAAGUGUAAUCUUGGGGCUUAACCCUGAGCGUGCUUUCGAUACGGGUUGACUUGAGGAAGGUAGGGGAGAAUGGAAUUCCUGGUGGAGCGGUGGAAUGCGCAGAUAUCAGGAGGAACACCAGUGGCGAAGGCGGUUCUCUGGGCCUUUCCUGACGCUGAGGAGCGAAAGCGUGGGGAGCGAACAGGCUUAGAUACCCUGGUAGUCCACGCUGUAAACGGUGGGUACUAGGUGUGGGGUCCAUUCCACGGGUUCCGUGCCGUAGCUAACGCUUUAAGUACCCCGCCUGGGGAGUACGGCCGCAAGGCUAAAACUCAAAGGAAUUGACGGGGCCCCGCACAAGCGGCGGAGCAUGCGGAUUAAUUCGAUGCAACGCGUAGAACCUUACCUGGGUUUGACAUGGAUCGGGAGUGCUCAGAGAUGGGUGUGCCUCUUUUGGGGUCGGUUCACAGGUGGUGCAUGGCUGUCGUCAGCUCGUGUCGUGAGAUGUUGGGUUAAGUCCCGCAACGAGCGCAACCCUUGUUCACUGUUGCCAGCACGUUAUGGUGGGGACUCAGUGGAGACCGCCGGGGUCAACUCGGAGGAAGGUGGGGAUGACGUCAAGUCAUCAUGCCCCUUAUGUCCAGGGCUUCACGCAUGCUACAAUGGCUGGUACAGAGAGUGGCGAGCCUGUGAGGGUGAGCGAAUCUCGGAAAGCCGGUCUCAGUUCGGAUUGGGGUCUGCAACUCGACCUCAUGAAGUCGGAGUCGCUAGUAAUCGCAGAUCAGCAACGCUGCGGUGAAUACGUUCCCGGGGCU